UCAGCCCCAGCCAGCAAAGCCUUCACAGGUUUCGUGUUGGACGCCGACAGCCCUGGGAUCCACGUGGGGCGGAAGGAGCUGAACAUGGGGCAGCGCUGCUCGGACACGAGAGGCAUCGUCUUCGAAGACGUGAGGAUCCCCAAG